rnacentral:siRNA from 1 species
GAUUAUUACAUGCCUGGCAUGAA